UUAGAGCACCAAAACCAACCAUGAAGCUUCUAGUUCUGCUAGCCGUCGUCUGCGCAGCCAGCGCCCAUGCCCCGAGGUGGCCACGACUUCCCAAAGGAUGGGCUCCCCCGGACACGAAGAUUGUUGGCGGCGAUGAUGUGAUUAUUGAGGAUUACCCAUACCAGGUUGCUAUGUACUUUUCUGGAUCCUUUAGAUGUGGAGGCUCCAUUAUUGGCCCAAACACCAUUCUGACUGCUGCUCACUGC